rnacentral:rRNA from 1 species
UACGUAGGGUGCAAGCGUUGUCCGGAAUUAUUGGGCGUAAAGAGCUCGUAGGCGGUCUGUCGCGUCGAAUGUGAAAACCCGGGGCUCAACCCCGGGCCUGCAUUCGAUACGGGCAGACUAGAGUUCGGUAGGGGAGUCUGGAAUUCCUGGUGUAGCGGUGAAAUGCGCAGAUAUCAGGAGGAACACCGGGUGGCGAAGGCGGGACUCUGGGCCGAUACUGACGCUGAGGAGCGAAAGCGGUGGGGAGCGAACGG